CAUUUGAGGUGUUUUAUCUCCUCCACAGCUAACGCAGCUAAUGAAGUCUUUGACUGGUGGUGAUUUGUAAGUUUGUGAUCUUUGGACAAAUUUAGUUUAUUUUGAUUUAUUGUUUAUUUGAGAGGAACAGAGACAAAAUUGUAGAUGAAAAAGAUCUAAUGUCUGCAUCACAGUGUAUAUAGCCACAGCUAAUUCGUAACAUUUAUCCCUAGAAGAACCUUUAACAGUUGAUUAAAAUGAAAAGAUCAGUAGUAAAGAUAAUAAAAUGAUUUUAAAAAAGAGAUAAACAAAACAACAUACUGAACCAAAACAACCACUAUAUUUAAGAAUAAGUGCAAUUCUGGGUCAUAUUUAGUCAAUUCUUAACCCUCAAAAUGAAUAUUUUAAUGUCAACUAUGGUCUUAAAAUCAGUUACAAAGUUUACAACUUUUAAUAGAGAAGACUGGACAUCCUUAAACUAGGAUCUAGUCUAAUGCUUAAAUUAGAUAAAAUCCUGGCUGGUUUAUCUGUUUAACUGUUCUUGAAUUGAUCUAGAAAACUGCUAGUAAAAAUUAUAUUACUAUUAAAGUGCAGCAGAGUUAGUUAUUGAGGAUUUUUGUACUGUGACUGUUGUUGGAUCUGUUUGUUGAUGCUGCAAAGAGUUUAGAUGACUGCUUUCACAUCCCUGUAGCUGUGUGUUAAGCUCAUAAAAUGACAUGUCUGACCUUUUGCAGACACGCCACCCUCUGACCAACACAAUACACCAUCAUCAUCAAAUUACAGGGAGCUGAAACGCUCUCAUCCCACAGAGGAUGAUCUCAGCCAGCUAAUGAUGGUGGCAGCACUCCUCUGCUGCAGGCAGCUUCCAUAGAGAAGCAGACUGCAGCCUUUCCAGAGAAAUUGGCUUGAUGCAGAACGAGACCUUUGCCAGAUGAAACCAGCUGGCGCAUCCAUGAGGAGAAAAACAAUUCGACUGAGCUUGAUCCGUUUAGUGAGGAAGAAUGGAGGAAGCUUACAGUGUCCAGAUGUGCAAACCUGACUGAAAUAAUUAUGCAAACCUUUAUUUUAUGUUUAAUGUAAAAAUAAGUUUUCACUUUUACAUUAAAGGUUGUUUUUUUUGGUCAUUUCUGUUAAAAAAAGAAGUCAAAUUUUGUUGGUCAUGGUUUAUUGUAAAAGCAAUACAAAGGGUAAAACAUCCAAAAGAGUGAAAACUUUUCAUAGGCGCUGCAUGUGUAAGCUGUGUAAAUAAAUUUUAAACUUUAACAGCUACUGUAGUAAACUUUAUCUAUGCUCCAACAAUGAACUGCUUUUAGAAAAUGAGACGCUGUCCUUUUGGCACAUAGUGGUUGAUCACAUUAUUCUGCCACCAGUUUUCAAAACAAUUAUUUCUCUACAUUUCAUUCUCACACAAAAGAUGUUAGUUCGUUUCUUCAGAUUGAGAUUAUUUCACUGCAGGCUUUUUAUUUUUUUUUUUAUCUCUUACAUCUUUACUCGAGAUGCUGAUCUGCUGGGUUUCCUUAGAAACUUUUUAAACUACUUUGAAUAAUUUACUUGACUGCAGUUUGAUAACUGGGAUUAAUGGGAAUGGAUGCAUGAUUUAAUUUUUUUGGAAAGUGCCUCAAGGCCUGUGUUGUGGCAUAUUGCAGUCCAAGAUUGUUUACUGUUCAUUGUUUAAUUGGAAAACAAAAACAGAACCUGUAGUGGUUGAAACAUCUCUAGAUAAAUCCGCUCUUUUCAAAGGCAACAAUUUAAAGCCAAUCCACUUGCUGAGAAACAAAAAGUCCACAUCUGUCAAUAAAUUCCAAGUAAAAUUCAGAGAAAAGACAAAAUAUUCUAGACGGUAUCUUUAAAUGUUUAUUAAAGGGUAUUCGGAUUUCAUUUGGAUUCUUCAAGUUUUAAAACAAUGACAUCAAAUGGGCAUCAAACUAGACAGCCGGCUGUGAAUAUCUGCAAUAAAGCAUCAUGAGUUGAUCACACUGCACAUCAGCUUUAAGUGAUAAAUCCUUUCUGCCUCAAAGCCAGACGAUGUAACAUCAUACACCUCUGCUAAAAGAGUAUGACUGAUCCAAAUCCCAGAGAGUGGUUCCUUUAAAGCUUAAGGUGAUAGGUCCAGAUCCAUGCUGUCUGAAGCAGAGUAAAUCAACUCAUAAAGGUAAACAAAUAACGUCCAAAUGAAGCAUUCCAGUGACUAGAGCUGCUGGACAGUAGAUCUCAAACUGCAACCAUUUCCAGAUAGGAGGCUUCACAUUGAUACGUCUAAAACGGUUUGAAUAAACUGCAUUCAAAGCAGAAAAAACGAAUGCGGCUGUGAUUUUGCUCUAAAAAAAAAAACCAACCAACUCCUGCUGUGUACAAGCACUAAAACGGCUUCAAAUGUAAUCCAAAUUACCCCACUUGUGAGCGUUUGUUGUUAGGCGGGUUAAUUUAAGGCGUAAAGUCACAAAAGGUUCAAAGGCUCGAGGUCGAGUUGCUCUUCGGUCAGUUCCUACUUCCAUUUUGUAAAGUGAGAUAUAGAUAAAAAUCUUGGAUCGACUUUAACAUAUUUCCAAUUAAUUUCUGAAGUUUCUAUUAUUUAUGGUUCUGAUCACCAUUGAAGCCAAUUGAUUCUAAUGAAAUAUGAUAGAAAUAAUUUGUUUUACAGGAGUCAUAUAACUACAUAUCCUUAUAGUAGUUCUUAGUACAAUUAUAAAUAGUUACUUCAAUCAUCAAAUCGCUUCCCUGAUGGAUGAAGAUUUGAAGUUUGGUGUGUAUGAAGUGACUGUGUUCAAAACUGCAAAGGGGCAAACUUAGAGUUUAAUUAUUGGGAUGCCAGCUGUCAGUUCGUUUAACUCCUCAGUUUUUAAUCAUAUUAUGGAUUUUGUAAACCAUUUUCAAUCGGUGGAAAACAAGCGUACGCUACAAUAACAACCCUGUUGCGUUUAAAAAAAG